rnacentral:tRNA from 2 species
GGAGAAAUACUCAAGAGGCCGAAGAGGCGCCCCUGCUAAGGGUGUAGGUCGGGAAACCGGCGCGAGGGUUCAAAUCCCUCUUUCUCCGCUA